GGAGAAGAUCUGCUCCCAGGAGCCUUUCUUCACCUCAGGCAUUUCAUUUGUUUCAGAUGAAGAAAGUGACACAUCAUGAUUGCAUUUGAAUCCAAACUCAUAAACUUCUUAAGUGCUGGAACAAAUAUGAAAAUCAGCUCUCUCAGAAUAUUAAGUGGAUGGUGGAUACCCUUCAACUGUAUGUGAUGAGCUGCUAUUCAUUGUCUUGCAACAACAAAGAAAAGAAACAGAGAACUGAGCUGCACUUUCAAAACAGGCAAGGUAAUUGAAAAAGCAGAUAAAAAGUCGAAAGUAAUAACAAAAGAAGCCUGUCUGCAUAUUGAGAUGUAAUCCACCUCGC
rnacentral:lncRNA from 1 species